AUGGAAAGAUCAACUAAUUAGCACAAGGUCACACUGCUGGUAAAUAAUACAGCCGGGAUUUAAAUUCACGGCCGUCAAAACUUCAAGGCUGUCAGUAUACUGCCUCUCAACAGCUCCCUCUGAUAAAAAUCAUCUGACCAACUAAUGCAUCCACUAUAAAAAAUAAGGCCAAAGAGAGGGUGCAUGUUACAGAAAUUAAAGUGGAGACUUUAGAAGACACUUCAGGAGAGCAUCUUCACGGCCUUGGGGUGAACAGAUAUUUCUUAGGACACAGGCCACAUGAUUAACAAAGAAAAAAAAUUGAUAAGUUAGACGUCAUUAAAGUAAAAUAUCCUACAUAUCAAAACUGUAGAAAAAGAGUAAGUGAGCCACAAUCUGGGAAAACAUACUCACAAAACGUCUACCUGGUAAAGAAUGUGUAUCCAGAACAUAUAACUUCCACAGUUCAAUAGUAGGAAGGUAAACAAGCCAAUGAAAAAUAGCCCGAAGAUUUUAACAGACAUGUCACAAGAAGACACACGAAUGGCCAAAAAGACAUGAAACAGUGCUCACCAGGGACACGUCACAGAAACACACAUUAAAACCAUAAUGAGACCACAACACACCUGCUAGCAUGGCUACAAAUAAAAAGAUGACAAAUAUCAAAGUGAUGGCAAGGAUGUGGAGCGACCCCAACUCUCAUGUGCUGCUGGUGGAAGUACACUUGGAGGCCUCUUGAAACAUUAAACGUCCUCUUUCCCAAAUCAUCUAGAUAUGGAUUUCUAAGUAUGGAGAAGCAAGGCAAACACAUAUCUACAAAAGACCUGAACACAAAUGCUCACAGCCACGUUAUGUGUAUUAGCCCCAAACAGAAAACAACCCAGAUGGCCAUCCACAGAAGAAUGAUAAACUGUGGUAAGUCCACACACUGAGAUGCUACCUAAAAAGGGACUGAUGACAGACCGAACAAUUAAUGCCAAUGACAGAUCUUAAAAAUACCAUAUGCUACGUGAAAAGGAAAAACAAACACAAGGGACUUCAUAACGCACCUUUCCAUUUACACGAAAUCCUACAAAGGACAACACUAACCUAUGAUGAAAAGUAAAAGCGUAGUGAAUAGCCUUCGUCUCCAGAGUGGAUGGAGAAGUUGCCUGAGAAGAGACACAAGGAAAUCUUUGAGGGUGAAGGACAUGCUCUGGAUCUUGACGGGGCUGCCGGUUGCCCAGACACGAGCAUCUAUCAAAGCUUAUAAAACUGUACACUCAAUGUUGGUACAUUUCAUGGUGUGUAAAUUUCACCGAAGUCAAAGAUGGCGUGUAUACGAAUUACUGAAAAGUGGGCUCUGAAAUCCGACAGGGACUUGGGUUGACAAGUACUUCUUUAGUGGGUCUCUGUUAACAUGCCAGGUGCUAUUCUCAUUACCGAGGAUACAGCAGUGACCAAAACAGGCAAAAAUCAACUACCCUCACCAAGUGGUUUGGCUACAGUGCUGGGGGUAAGGAAUAAAUCCCUGAAGGAGAUUAGGGGAGGGAGUAAGGUGAUCCCGUUUGUACUUUCAAAAGAUCGUGCUCCCCCCCUUUCAGUAAAUGCAGAUCACUUAUCAGCUGUGUGGCUUAGAUAAAUCACUGUACUUCUUUGAGCUUUACCUUUGUUUUCCAAUUGGGAAAACUAUGAAUGCCCAUCUCAAAGCCUAUCAUAAGGAUUAAGGAAAUACAGGCAGCGGCAGACAUUUAAAAGGUGCUCAGUAGCUACUAUUAAAAUCAACUCUGAGAUAUUUCUGCUCCAUAACACAUCACACUGUUCCCUGGAGUCAGAAAAAUGAGAAAAUACAUUUUGUAAAAUGAUCUGCGUGAUCAUCUGGGGCAGCCAAAAGGAAGGAGGUCCCUCCGAGUCCACUCUGUUCUAGAAUUACAUCCCCUUGGACGUGACCUCAAGGCGCAAAAGCAGGAACAAAACUGAUUCUCCGUGGAGAAAAAAAGUCUCGCCUCUAAGGUCCUGGAGAGGAAGGACCCUCUGGUUUUCAGUGCGAACAUCACCACGUGGGCGGGAGUGGUGAGCCUGAGCAAUGUGGACAGAGUUUGGUGAGGGUCCGACGUUCUGAGCUGGAAGGAAGUCAGGAAAGGGGGGACCUGCAGAACCUCCCGAGUCAGUGGUUCCCCACACCUGACAACUCAGCAGAAACCCCUGGGGGACUGGAACCAGCCUAGAGAUGGAUGUGUGCACAUGUGUAACACGUUGUUGUGCAGCAGAAAUGAUCACGCCAUUGUCAAUCAACUCCACUGCAAUGACACUUUCAGAGCUGAAAAGAAAAAGCGCGGAAGAUGAUUUUGAUACACGCAAGUCCUAGAUCCACAAACAGAACCGCUGUCCAAGGGCAAACACUUCCCUCCCUAAAGAGGAAACUGAGGCCAGAGACAGGACAGGGAACUAAAUCACGGUCCCCACGACAGCCAGUGGCCGUGUUCCCCCCUCUCUGAGUGGCCCCGCAUUUCCUGCGUUGCUUCCACGCAAUUGGGAUACGGAGGAUUAGUGGCGAAUACACCAAGUCAGGGGCUCGGUUCCUCUCAGUCCGCAAAACUCUCUUCGACGUAGACAGGCCAUUCUCCAUCUGGAUGGAUGAGGGGAUGGAGGCCCCCAAAGGGAACUUGGCCAAGGCCACACAGACAGAGUGGCAGAGCCGUGAUUCAGACUCCCUUCUGACUGGAUCGAAAUACGUGUCCUUAACCACGGCACCACAGCACUGUCCUUGUGGGGAACACGGGCCUGGCCAUCUUGCAGGGUUCUCCAUCCCCUGGGUAGGCUGAAGCUGUGUGUGAGUGGAUCUCUAGCCUGGCAGAUGAACUAUCUUUGCUUCUGAUGUAGCACAGAGAAAUUCCACUCCAAGAAGUAUUGAUCUUCAACUCAGGAAGGCCAGAGACCAGCGCACCCCUCACCCCAGCAAUGGUGUCUGGGAACUGCCUUCUUGCCUUCCUGACUUUGUUUAUUUCUCGCGCUCCAGUCUGGUCCCCAGAAGCAGCUGUCUGCCUCCGGCAACAACACACAACCAGGGAAAGCCAGGACAGCCCUGGCCCACGGUCAGGUCCACAACAUGUCUACAGACUGCAGCUGGGGCUCAGUCGGGUUUCUUGACAGUGACAAAGUGGGUUGGAAGACAGGGGAGGAGACCAGCCCAAUAAUAGCCCGAGUUCUCCAGCUGGUGACCGAAGCCAAGCAGGCAUCAUGCCAGGGCCAGGGCCGGCUGCCGCUUCUCCACGAAUUAUGGCAGGGAGUUUGUGGAAAGCCCAUGAGGUGGCACUUUGCGGAGGGCAAACAGGGUACCUCUGACUGAGAUGUGUAUUCUAAUGACAUAUGGGCCAUCAAAGGGAUGCAGGUCGCAAAGACAAAGGAACCAGUAGAGAGACAGAAUGAAGACGGCCUCGAUGGAGAACACUCGAGUCCUUGGGGUAUUUCCAUUUCCUGCUACCC
rnacentral:lncRNA from 1 species